ACCUCAGUAGCUCAGUGGUAGAGCACCCGGAAGGGAAGGUCGUUGGGUUCGAACCCCACCUGAGGUA
rfam:Phytophthora megakarya strain zdho120 scaffold_14634, whole genome shotgun sequence.